AUGGCCAUUCUGGACUGCUUUAAAGUCAGAGUACCUUUUGAUGCCCCAGCCCCCAUAAUGGGUUUGAGCCUCACAUCUGCUAAACAAGUGCUGUACCCCUGUGCUGACUGGCGUUCUGUCAACUUGACAGAAGAAUCUGCCGCUCAGGAGAAGCCAACUCUGCCACCCUCUAGGGCAGCUGCCGGAGCAGACUAUUUUUAG
rnacentral:lncRNA from 1 species